rnacentral:rRNA from 1 species
UUGGAGGGCAAGUCUGGUGCCAGCAGCCGCGGUAAUUCCAGCUCCAAUAGCGUAUAUUAAAGUUGUUGCAGUUAAAAAGCUCGUAGUUGAAUUUCGGGGUUAGUAGGUUGGUCAUGCCUCUGGUAUGUACUGGUCUCACUGAUUCCUCCUUCCUGAUGAGCCGUAAUGCCAUUAAUUUGGUGUUGCGGGGAAUUUGGACUGUUACUUUGAAAAAAUUAGAGUGUUUAAAGCAAGCUAACGCUUGAAUACAUUAGCAUGGAAUAAUGAAAUAGGACGUUCGAUCCUAUUUUGUUGGUUUCUAGGAUUGGCGUAAUGAUUAAUAGGGAUAGUUGGGGGCAUUAGUAUUCAAUUGUCAGAGGUGAAAUUCUUGGAUUUAUUGAAGACUAACUACUGCGAAAGCAUUUGCCAAGGAUGUUUUCAUUAAUCAAGAACGAAAGUUAGGGGAUCGAAGACGAUCAGAUACCGUCGUAGUCUUAACCAUAAACUAUGCCGACUAGGGAUCGGAUGAUGUUAAUUUUUUAAUGACUCAUUCGGCGCCUUACGGGAAAC